CCUACGGGUGGCAGCAGUGGGGGAUAUUGCACAAUGGAGGGAACCCUGAUGCAGCGACGCCGCGUGGGUGAAGAAGCGCCUCGGCGCGUAAAGCCCUGUCAGCAGGGAAGAAAAUGACGGUAACUGACGAAGAAGCCCCGGCUAACUACGUGCCAGCAGCCGCGGGAAUACGUAGGGGGCAAGCGUUAUCCGGAUGUACUGGGUGUAAAGGGGGCGCAGACGGCGGUGCAAGCCAGGAGUGAAAGCCCGGGGCCCAACCCCGGGACUGAUCUUGGAACUGCGUGGCUGGAGUGCAGGAGGGGCAGGCGGAAUUCCUGGUGUAGCGGUGAAAUGCGUAGAUAUCAGGAGGAACACCGGUGGCGAAGGCGGCCUGCUGGACUGUAACUGACGUUGAGGCUCGAAAGCGUGGGGAGCAAACAGGAUUAGAUACCCUAGUAGUC
rnacentral:rRNA from 1 species